UACGUAGGGACCAAGCGUUGUUCGGAUUUACUGGGCGUAAAGGGCGCGUAGGCGGCCUGUCAAGUCACUUGUGAAAUCUCUGGGCUUAACCCAGAACGGCCAAGUGAAACUGACAUGCUAGAGUGCAGAAGGGGCAAUCGGAAUUCUUGGUGUAGCGGUGAAAUGCGUAGAUAUCAAGAGGAACACCUGAGGUGAAGACGGGUUGCUGGGCUGACACUGACGCUGAGGCGCGAAAGCCAGGGGAGCAAACGGG
rnacentral:rRNA from 1 species